UUCCGGUUGAUCCUGCCGGAGGUUACUGCUAUUGGAAUCCGAUUAAGCCAUGCGAGUCGAUCGGGUCAGACCCGAGGCGCACUGCUCAGUAACACGUGGAGAAUCUGCCCUUAGGUGAGGAAUAACCUCGGGAAACUGAGAAUAAUACCUCAUAGGUUAUGGAUGCUGGAAUGCUUCAUAGCCCAAAGCCCCGGCGCCUAAGGAUGACUCUGCGGACUAUCAGGUAGUAGUCAGGGUAAGGACCUGACUAGCCUACGACGGAUACGGGGUGUGAGAGCACUAGCCCGGAGAUGGAUUCUGAGACACGAAUCCAGGCCCUACGGGGUGCAGCAGGCGCGAAACUUCCGCAAUGCUCGCCAGAGUGACGGAGGGAUUCCAAGUGCCUAUGCUAUGCGUAGGC
rnacentral:rRNA from 1 species